CCACCCGAGGCGACUGCGGGGCCCGCAGGCGCAGCCAGGAGGCGCGGAACUCAGGCCUGCCGGGGGCGCCGGGCUCGGUGUAGAGGCCGAGGACGCGGCGAGAAGCAGCUCGGCGGCUGGAGCGUCCCCCGGGGACACGCCGCGGCCUGGCCCUCGCCGCUCCAGUGCGCGCCGCCCGCCCUCACCCGCCCUUCCUCCUUUCCCCGCUACCCCAGCCGAGGCCCCGAGCAGCCGCGGGGCGCUUGGGCCCAGGGCGAGCCAGCCGGCCGCGCCGCCCGCCGCCAUGGAGCCCAGGCCCGCCGCACCGGGGCCUCGUCCCGGCGACUCGCGCGGCGCGGAGCAAGCGGCCGCGGCCUCUUCGCCGAGCCCGGCCGGGCCCGAGGCCCAGCCGCGGCGCCGCGCUCCCGCCGUGGCUGCUGUGUUGCCGGCGGGGGGGAGCGGGGAGAGGAUGGGCGUCCCCACCCCGAAGCAGUUCUGUCCCAUCCUGGAGAGGCCGCUCAUCAGCUACACCCUGCAGGCCUUGGAGAGAGUAUGUUGGAUAAAGGACAUUGUUGUAGCAGUAACUGGAGAGAACAUGGAAGCAAUGAAGCGUAUUAUUCAGAAAUACCAGCAUCAGCGAAUCUCCCUGGUUGAAGCUGGAGUGACCCGCCACAGGUCAAUUUUCAAUGGACUAAAAGCCCUGGCAGAGGACCAGCCUGACUCUAAACUCUCUAAGCCAGAAGUUGUGAUAAUCCAUGAUGCUGUGAGACCAUUUGUCGAGGAAGAUGUCCUCCUUAAAGUUGUCACAGCUGCUAAGGAACAUGGGGCAGCAGGAGCAAUUCGACCUCUUGUAUCUACUGUAAUCAGUCCAUCUGCUGAUGGUUGCCUAGACCAUUCACUAGAACGUGCCAGACACAGAGCAAGUGAAAUGCCACAGGCUUUUCUAUUUGAUGUGAUCUAUGAAGCCUAUCAGCAGUGUAGUGACUAUGACUUGGAAUUUGGAACUGAGUGUUUGCAGUUGGCUCUAAAAUAUGGUCACAUUAAUGCCAAACUUGUGGAAGGAUCACCCGACCUCUGGAAGGUGACCUACAAACGAGAUCUGUAUGCAGCGGAAUCGAUUAUUAAGGAAAGAAUUUCACAACACAUUUGCAUAGUUAUGGACACAAAAGAAGAUGAGAAUCAUGUAGGUCAUUAUCUUGAAGAAAUACUAAAAAAUGAAUUAAAUCAUGUAAAAGUCACUUCUGGAGCUCUGUGUCCUGCUAGCAGAGAUCUUGAGCAAAUCAUCUUAGAGCAAUGCUACAAUUACGUUUGUGUGAAUGUUAUGUCCUCUGAUUUUGAGGAAACCCGGAAAUUACUGAACAUGCUUGAAGAGAGUAAUCUAUCCAUUUUAUAUCCUAUUGUUGUUAUUUCAGUAUAUUUUCUUGAUUAUAAAUCAGUACCUUUUGAUGAGAAAAUGGAAAGCCUAAUACAGAUCAGGGAAUAUGCAAAGGAAGUGAAAAAAAGAAAUAUUUUAUUAUCUGGUCUUCUUAUAUAUUUCCCACAGGAUGAGCAGAGGCUACAGGCAAGUUUAAGGCAAGGAGUCACAAUUAUUGCCACCUUAAUCAAAGAAAGAAAUUCUGGACUUGUUGGUCAGCUACUGGUAGCAUGAAGAACACAGAGAAAAUUAUGUACCAGGUUUUUAGAAACAUUUACCUAGGUAUCUCUGCUGUGCUUCCCUCCCUAUUGUAUGUGGUAGAAUGUUUAAGUUGUCUUUUAUGUCUCACAGUUUGUAGGAUGUGACGUUUGGGUUAUAGAAAUGAAUCAGUGUUUAUAUCUGUGAAAAAAAUACUCUUGUGCAUGUCAAAUAUAAAUUAAUCAGAAAAUAUGCAAAUGGAAAGUAAUAACCUUCAUGUAAUCUUCUGCAAAGGCAUGAAAAAUCAAAUAGAAAUCAUGAUGGAUGAGCUAAUCUUCCUAGGAAUGAGAAUUUAGAGAACUUCAACUGUGGUCUAAUCUCUGUGUUAAUUAGUAAAUCACAUUAUCAUGAAAUGAGUAAAAAAAUUGAGAAUAAUUUUUAAUUCUAAAAUUGUCCUCUUAGCAACUGAUAUUUUUGUUUUCUAAUUUUCCACACCUUAAAAAAUAAAUAAAAGAGACAACAGGGAACUCUGGUUCUAAUAUUUUCACUGUUGGCCUCACAUUACUCUAGAUCCAUAAAGGAGAUGUAAUUCCCUCCUGCUUUUCUGUUUUAAAAUUCUAUGUUUUCCUUGGUUUAUGAAAAAUAAUUUUGACUUAUUUUAAAAGGUCUCUGAUUUUUCUGAAUGCCUUUAAAAGAAGACCAAAAAUCUUCAUAAAAGUGAAAUUAUUUUGGUCAGUCCCAAGUUAGUCUUUUCUGAAAGGUAGGGAGUCAUAAAUUAUUUUUUGAUACAGAUACUACUGUCUUUUUAAUUUUAAAUUUUUAUUUAAGUAGGCUCCACGCCCAGCAUGGAGCCCAAUGCAGGACUUGAACUCACGACCCUGAGAUCAAAACCUGAGCUAGAUCAAGAGUAAGACUCUUAACAGACUGAGCCACCCAGGUGCCCUGAUAUUGCUGUCUUUUAAAAUCAUGUUGUUACUCUUUCAAAUUUCCACUGGUAUAUACAUCUUAAAAGUGUAAAUGAUUUUUGCUUACAUUAAAUUUUGCAAAAAAUGUAUAUACAAUCAUUAGAGAUAACUUUUAUUCUCUUUUUACACAUUAGAUCAGAUUCCAAGGCUUAGGUUACUUGUGGAAACUAUAGAAGUUGCAUGAGAUGUUAUCAGUUAAACUGUGACAAUUUCUAUAAAAUUUCUUCUUAACAUGUUGGAUGAUUUUCCCUGUUUUUAUCUAGGACCUAUAUUAGUAGGAGAGUUUAUAUUUUACAUUUAAGUAAUAGUAGAAUAUAAUGGAGUAAUUACUUCAAUUCAUACUCCUAAAUGAAAUGUGUUAUUUCAGUGUAGCUUGGAUCUAAAUUCCUGGGCUUACCACUUUUUUUUUUUCUCUUUCUCUAGGGAUGAUAAAAAGCAUGAAUGAUUUAAUUCAAAACUGUGAUGGUGAAAGUAUGUGGGCAAUGUGUAGAUUUUGGGGCUAGAACAUCUGUGUCAUUGUUAAGGCGGUGGGUUGACUGUUGUGAAAAGGUCCACACAUGAACCUUUUGAAGUCUUCAGGUGAAAAUGUUUUAAGGACUCGGAAGUGGUUAUAAAGGCAAAUAGGAAAAUAUUAUCAGGGUUUUAAAGAGAAAGUGACUUUAAGUAAAAGGCAGAAACAGUAUAUCUAUGGCACAGCAAAAUUACUGUAUCAAUUGAGUGCUGGUUAAGUCAUCUUAAAUUCCAAAUUAUUAAUGGAUUGUUGAGCCAGACAAGAAUUUAUCUGGGAGCGAUGAUUAAUGACUUUACCCUAGGCAAUCUUAAACUGUGACUGAAAUAAUCACCACCUUCCGCAUCACCCUUAUCAUCUCAUUUGAUUUUUUUCCUUACAGUUUACAAAGUGAUUGACAGCUUUGAAAAUAAUUUGAAGAAGUCUUCCCACAUCCUUUAUUGUGUGGAUGGAACUUGAGGUUCAGAGAUCUUAGCUACCUUGUGGAGAGCCCUGUGGCUGCCUAAUAACAAGAGCUCCCAUAGGAAGAAUAUAUGUGCAUUUGUUGACUUUGGGAUUCAUCGUGUAACCUGCUCUGACCAGUAGAGUGAGGCCGAAGUGGCCGUGCAUGACUGAGGCUAGCCUCGAGAGACUUUGCAUGUUGCUGCUUGCUCCUUUCUGCUCUUGCCCCCACCUUGAGAGGAACAUGUCCUGCCCGGCCCGCUGUCUCCAAAAGGAAAACAAAGCCCAGAUCAGUCGAUCUCCAGCUAAUCAACAAAUGGAUGAAGAAGCCCAACUGAGAUCAGCAGGGCUCCCUAGGCCAGUUCAGGUGACCUCCACCAGGCAGGUGAGCUGCAUAAAUGCUCCUUGUUUUUUGCUAGUAGUAAGUUUUGAAACUUUGUUGCACGCCAAGUGGUAGUCAAGAAGCUCUGUGGCGGUGCAUGACAUAUUUGUCCUCACAAGCCUAGGAGGUAUCUGGAGACACACAUGUUGCUAAAGUAGAAUGCUUAUGAGGAGAAAUGCUGGUCAGAGUCAUGAUCCCAAAGUAUGAGAAGGUUCUGAAGGUUUUCAAUAGUUAUGAAAAGAGAAAAAUAGACCUGAAUGUUUUAGAAAAAUUUACAAAAGAGGUUAAACUUUCUUAGGCCUAAGAUGAUUUUGAGUUAAAAUACAGGCACUUAAAAUAAUAGUAAAAAUAGCUAACAUUUAUUGAAUGAUUACUCUUGUUCUAGAAACUGUUCUUCAUGCUUUGCCUACCUUUGUUUUUUCUUCAGAAUAACUCUGUGUACUGGUACUAUACCAAUCUCUAUUUAAAAAACAAGGAAACCAAGGCACAUACAUUUUAAAUAAACAUAUUCAGACUCACCCAAGCAGCAAGUGGGAGAAACGAGAUUCAAAUAGGCUUCUCUCACUUUAGAGCUUAUAUUCCUAACACAGUGCAAUGCAAUAUUACAAAACAUACUAUUCUAAGAUCCCUUAAAGAAUGAUCCUCAAAGAUGGAAAUCUCAAAUACCUUUUUUUUUUCUUAAAUAGCAAGAGAAAAAAAAAAAGGCUCAAUCCCAUUGUCUUCCAUUGUUUCUGUAAUGUUCCUUUCCUUUGCCCAUCACCACCCCCAACACACAAACAUAUUUUGGAACGUCCCUGGAUCUGCACAUGUCAGUAUACUCAACAAGGACUGAUAGCGACCUACAGUUACUAUCAGUGCCAUCCAUCUCUGUGGGCUCUAAAGUUGUAGGAGUUUGCUCAGGCAGUGAAUGAUCAGACAUACGUAAAUAACGAAAGUGUAAGAUUAAAAAGUAGAAGUAAGUACUUUCUUGAUGAACCAGAGUUGUGUAGGGCCAUUUAUGUCCCAGCACACAAGACAACAUGCAAAGAGAAGCAGAAAUCCAUUCAUCAUGUUUAUAGGAGAAAGGAAAGUCUAGAAAAAUGCCUAGGUGUGAGGAGUCUUCCCUAGCCAUUAGACAGUCCUAAGCAUAUAUCACAAUAUUUGCUCAAUGGGAAGAUUUGGGGGUGAAUGGUGUCCAGUGUGAUGCGCUAGAUCGGAAAGGAGCCAGAUUGUUUUCUCUUACCAUCUGAAAUAUUGAAAUCUUUGAUUUUUACAAAUGUCUUCACAGCUGAAAUGCAUUAUGUAAAUUCAUUCUCUACUUAGUUGAGGAUGCUACCAAAUAAUCUGAGCGGUUGUUAAAACAUCUGGGUCUCUUUAGCAGCACGGAUAAAGCCUGACUUGUUAAGUGCACUUUUUCCCUUCCAGUUUACCCUUAAUUAAUCCUUGCAGGGUCUCUGUGAGGUAGGUCUGUAUCAACCUUGCGACGUGACAGUUGCAAAAACUCAUACGCAGAGAUUAAGGAACGCCUGAUCGCCCAGCAUACUGAAAGCCAAACUGGGUUUGGGGAUGCAGAAUUUCUGACUCUCUCUGGACAGUUUUUCCAGGAAUGAGAUUAUAACUAGGAAGGGUUGUUCUUUACUUAAGGUUUUUUUUUUAAAAAAAAUCUGAUUUAAAUCUGCAUCCAGAAUUUUACCUGGAUGCAUUCCCUCAUUUUCCAUUUUGCAAAAUUGCAGCUCAGCCCAGAGGCAAAAACUUCACCAAGGCAAUCCUAGUGAUCUUUUUGACCCGAAUGGAGACAUGAUUUGAGAUUCCACAAGGAAGCCAAUUUUGUAAGAAUUUCCACUAGUCUGUAGACUGUAAUAAUUGGGUUAUUUGGAUAAGGUUUGGCAAAGCAUCUUGAAGAUUAACUGAAUGAGGUUUCUGGAGGUUUGCCAUUCUGGAGCUAUCCAUUUUGUUCUUUGUUCUACCUCAUUAUAAAAUGGGCUAUUGAAAUUGGUUGGUUUGUUGGUAUGUGAGGUUUUUCUUUUUUUCCCCUUUCUUAUUCUUUACAUCUGAGCCCUUAAUUUGGUUGAAGGCAAGCUCUUCAGUCUAAGUGGAUAACAAACAUCCCUUUGAGGAGAAGGAAAUAGAUGAUAAAAUCUGCAUGUUACUAAUUUUUUCAAUAGUUUGAAGGAAUUUCUCUCCCAUCCUGUGUGUGUUUUUAAGACCCUGUUAAGUUCAUAGUUCCUUUUUCUUGUUUGAAUAGAAAAAUGAUUCUCUUUAAUCCCCCCUGAGUGUUAAAAAUGUAUUAUUGAACGGCCCAGUUCAGGAAUUUAGUUCCCUCUUACACUGAAUGGAGGUAUGUAUGACCUGAUAGUCAAAGAAUGCUAUUCAGAGACAUUUCCGCCUGUUUGUUUCUUGGAUCAGUUACUGUUCACAUAAAGUCUGGAAAGAAGCCAAAACGUGUAAACAAAUUAAGAAUUUUGAGUAUCCCAGUGGGAAUAUCCGUAAGUUCUACCAGGAACCAGGAAUUGAAGAUCAGUGCAAUAUGCUUUCAUGGGACAGCCAGGAGAGGCAACUAUAGACCAAAUAUUCUUGGCUUUGGUUUGGGAAUCUUAAUGGAUAUUAAAAGAUUUGGGUUAAUGAUGGAGUUAUGCAUACCACUAGUUUUUCCCAAACGUAUAUAUGUUGCCUAAAUGGAGUUUCAUUUUUCUUUCACUAACUUUUAGUUCCUUAAUAUCAACAAACUUUCAACUCUGAAGCUCCUGCUUGAUAUUAUUUCAGCAGAUAAAAUAUGUAAUAUGUAAAUUAUUUAUCUUUAUCACUAAUAAUUAGUGAUGCUACACAUCUACAUUAAUCUGUGACUACAGUGAAUGACAGUUUGGUGGACUGGGGAUUUUUCCUCUGGUGUUUUUUUGAUAUAGUCUCUUCUUCCAACUAUCUAUCUCAGCAUGUGAAUUGAAAAUUGUGGUCUCUUUAUUUCCUUUAUUUCCUCCAGAAAUAAAACUUAAAUGUAAAACUUCCCCUUAAUUUUAAUUUCCUUUAAGCUAUUAAAAGUUUUAUUAUCAUUAUGAUAUCUCUAUUAAUUUCUUCUUCAUUUUCUGUGUGUGUGCAUAUGUAUAUGAAUAUGUGUGUGGAGAGAGAAUGUAGAGAAAGAAAAAAGUGUGAAUAUGUUAUUUUCAUGUCCACGUUUUUUUUUUUUUAAGAAUUGUUAUAAAAAAUGCACUGUGACCUUGUGCUUUGUAUGCAUGUGUAGGAAGAACUUAUAGAGAUUCACUAUCGCUGAUUUAGCAAAGUGUAUCUCAAAUAGGAAAAAUAGAGAAAAUAUACCUCAUACACAAUAAAUACAUAGUAAUUUGCAUAAUUAACAAUACUGAUUGGCAAUGCAGAUUCAACACAAUUUUUAAGUAAUUGUAUAAAUUUAGUAAUGGAGGCCUCACCUAGCCCCUGACGUAAAGUGAUUUCACACUCUUGUUUUGUAAACCCACAUUGUUAAAAUGAACCCAUGUGGUUUCCACCAGUGGCCAACCUGACUCACAGUAUCCUCCCUGCAAUUUCAUGAAUGCUCUAGAAAUAAGUCCCUUCAUUUCUUUUACUCUUUAUUUUUCGCUGCGUUGCCAUACUAUAACCUCUGUUACUAGUGACGCUCAUGAGAAAGCCACUCUGGGCUCUGCUACCUCUCGUCCUGUCUCUGCCUGUGUGUCCCACUGCAGCCCCAGAGGAGGGAUUCCUUGUAUCUGGGGUAUCGAUCUUGGAUGUUCUUACAGCUCCCUCAGAGAGCUUGAUCAAGGAGUCAUCUUUCUGUUGCAGCAUGGAUAUGUUCUGCUGCGAGUGAGAAGCAAAGGUAGACUGUCACUCACAUCAGGCCUGUCUCCACUUGGCUCACUAUCAGAAACACUGGAUUGCUGAAGGUUUGGGCCCCAUCAUUUCUGGACCAGAGAGCAAGCAGUGCCUACCCUCUACUGCACCCUCACUUGAAGAACCUGUCAUAUCUCAAGAUGAGACACUCCCCCAAGUGGGUGAUGGCACGAUCAUCCCUUCUCUUCAAGACAAAUUGUCAUGUGGCCAACACGUUAACCAGAAAAUAGUGUGAAUAGUGAUACAUUUCCUAAAGUCUGGAUUUUUUUAGUCUUAGCCAUGGUCAACUUGCAACACUAAGACAAUGAUCUUU